AUUGAACGCUGGCGGCAUGCCUUACACAUGCAAGUCGAACGGUAACAGGUUAAGCUGACGAGCGGCGAACGGGUGAGUAAUGUAUCGGAACGUGCCCAGUCGUGGGGGAUAACGUAGCGAAAGCUACGCUAAUACCGCAUACGAUCUACGGAUGAAAGCGGGGGAUCGCAAGACCUCGCGCGAUUGGAGCAGCCGAGAUCAGAUUCGGUUUGUGGUGAGGUAAAAGCUCACCAAGCCUGCGAUCUGUAGCUGGUCUGAGAGGACGACUAGCCACACUGGAACUGAGACACGGUCCAGACUCCUACGGGAGGCAGCAGUGGGGAAUUUUGGACAAUGGACGCAAGUCUGAUCCAGCAAUGCCGCGUGCAGGACGAAGGCCUUCGGGUUGUAAACUGCUUUUGUACGGAACGAAACGGUGAGCUCUAAUACAGUUUGCUAAUGACGGUACCGUAAGAAUAAGCACCGGCUAACUACGUGCCAGCCGCCGCGGUAA
rnacentral:rRNA from 1 species